AGUGAACGCUGGCGGUAGGCCUAACACAUGCAAGUCGAACGGCAGCACAGUAAGAGCUUGCUCUUACGGGUGGCGAGUGGCGGACGGGUGAGGAAUACAUCGGAAUCUACUUUUUCAUGGGGGAUAACGUAGGGAAACUUACGCUAAUACCGCAUACGACCUACGGGUGAAAGCAGGGGAUCUUCGGAACUUGCGCGAUUGAAUGAGCCGAUGUCGGAUUAGCUAGUUGGCGGGGUAAAGGCCCACCAAGGCGACGAUCCGUAGCUGGUCUGAGAGGAUGAUCAGCCACACUGGAACUGAGACACGGUCCAGACUCCUACGGGAGGCAGCAGUGGGGAAUAUUGGACAAUGGGCGCAAGCCUGAUCCAGCCAUACCGCGUGGGUGAAGAAGGCCUUCGGGUUGUAAAGCCCUUUUGUUGGGAAAGAAAAGCAGCAGGUUAAUACCCCGCUGUUCUGACGGUACCCAAAGAAUAAGCACCGGCUAACUUCGUG
rnacentral:rRNA from 1 species